AAUUUAGCUCUAAUAAAGGCCAUUUCAAGCUAUGAAAAUCUUUUUUCCUUCACUCUCAUUUCCCAUGUGCAGAUGGACACAAACAGUUGGUUUCAAUCAAAGCUAUAGUUUGACUUGCAAGAACAGCCUUAUUUCUAGGGAGCUGUUU